UGGUGGAGUGAUUUGUCUGGUUAAUUCCGUUAACGAACGAGACCUUAACCUAUUAAAUAGUUGUUUGAACUUGAUUUUUAAAUCAAAUGUUCAAUUAACUUCUUAGAGGGACUCUUCACUGAGAGAGUGAAUGGAAGUUUGAGGCAAAAACA
rnacentral:rRNA from 1 species